rnacentral:rRNA from 1 species
GGGGGGACCAUCCUCCAAGGCUAAAUACUCCUGACUGACCGAUAGUGAACCAGUACCGUGAGGGAAAGGCGAAAAGAACCCCGGCGAGGGGAGUGAAAAAGAACCUGAAACCGUGUACGUACAAGCAGUGGGAGCCCCACCACUAAGCCAGUGGUGAACUCCACAUCCGCAUCCUUUGCUGAGGAUACGGUUAACGGAGCGAAAGCGACGUUCAACCGCAAAACAAGCAGAGGGGGCUUAGUGGUGGGGUGACUGCGUACCUUUUGUAUAAUGGGUCAGCGACUUAUAUUCUGUAGCAAGGUUAACCGAAUAGGGGAGCCGGAGGGAAACCGAGUCUUAAUUGGGCGUUAAGUUGCAGGGUAUAGACCCGAAACCCGGUGAUCUAGCCAUGGGCAGGUUGAAGGUUGGGUAACACUAACUGGAGGACCGAACCGACUAAUGUUGAAAAAUUAGCGGAUGACCUGUGGCUGGGGGUGAAAGGCCAAUCAAACCGGGAGAUAGCUGGUUCUCCCCGAAAGCUAUUUAGGUAGCGCCUCGUGAAUUCAUCUCCGGGGGUAGAGCACUGUUUCGGCUAGGGGGCCAUCCCGGCUUACCAACCCGAUGCAAACUGCGAAUACCGGAGAAUGUUAUCACGGGAGACACACGGCGGGUGCUAACGUCCGUCGUGAAGAGGGAAACAACCCAGACCGCCAGCUAAGGUCCCAAAGUCAUGGUUAAGUGGGAAACGAUGUGGGAAGGCCCAGACAGCCAGGAUGUUGGCUUAGAAGCAGCCAUCAUUUAAAGAAAGCGUAAUAGCUCACUGGUCGAGUCGGCCUGCGCGGAAGAUGUAACGGGGCUAAACCAUGCACCGAAGCUGCGGCAGCGAACGUAUCACCCAAGACAACUUUACGGAGUUGACGAUUGACGGAGCGAAGCGACGUCAAAGCGUUCAUUAAAGUCGAGUUGGCUUAGGGAUACGUUCGUUGGGUAGGGGAGCGUUCUGUAAGCCUGUGAAGGUGUGUCGUGAGGCAUGCUGGAGGUAUCAGAAGUGCGAAUGCUGACAUAAGUAACGAUAAAGCGGGUGAAAAGCCCGCUCGCCGGAAGACCAAGGGUUCCUGUCCAACGUUAAUCGGGGCAGGGUGAGUCGACCCCUAAGGCGAGGCCGAAAGGCGUAGUCGAUGGGAAACGGGUUAAUAUUCCCGUACUUGGUGUUACUGCGAAGGGGGGACGGAGAAGGCUAUGUUGGCCGGGCGACGGUUGUCCCGGUUUAAGCGUGUAGGUGUGUGUUCCAGGUAAAUCCGGUUCAC